UCUACGGGAGGCAGCAGUGGGGAAUAUUGCACAAUGGGGGAAACCCUGAUGCAGCAACGCCGCGUGAGUGAUGACGGCCUUCGGGUUGUAAACUUCUUUUAAGAGGGAAGAGCAGAAGACGGUACCUCUUGAAUAAGCCACGGCUAACUACGUGCCAGCAGCCGCGGUAAUACGUAGGUGGCAAGCGUUGUCCGGAUUUACUGGGUGUAAAGGGCGUGCAGCCGGGAAGACAAGUCAGAUGUGAAAUCCCGCGGCUCAACCGCGGAACUGCAUUUGAAACUGUUUUUCUUGAGUACCGGAGAGGUCAUCGGAAUUCCUUGUGUAGCGGUGAAAUGCGUAGAUAUAAGGAAGAACACCAGUGGCGAAGGCGGAUGACUGGACGGCAACUGACGGUGAGGCGCGAAAGCGUGGGGAGCAAACAGGAUUAGAUACCCGUGUAGUC
rnacentral:rRNA from 1 species